rnacentral:rRNA from 1 species
CAGAGGGGGGGGGCCUUAAUACAUGCAAGUCGAGCGGACAGAUGGGAGCUUUGCUCCCUGAUGUUAGCGGCGGACGGGUGAGUAACACGUGGGUAACCUGCCUGUAAGACUGGGAUAACUCCGGGAAACCGGGGCUAAUACCGGAUGGUUGUUUGAACCGCAUGGUUCAAACAUAAAAGGUGGCUUCGGCUACCACUUACAGAUGGACCCGCGGCGCAUUAGCUAGUUGGUGAGGUAACGGCUCACCAAGGCGACGAUGCGUAGCCGACCUGAGAGGGUGAUCGGCCACACUGGGACUGAGACACGGCCCAGACUCCUACGGGAGGCAGCAGUAGGGAAUCUUCCGCAAUGGACGAAAGUCUGACGGAGCAACGCCGCGUGAGUGAUGAAGGUUUUCGGAUCGUAAAGCUCUGUUGUUAGGGAAGAACAAGUACCGUUCGAAUAGGGCGGUACCUUGACGGUACCUAACCAGAAAGCCACGGCUAACUACGUGCCAGCAGCCGCGGUAAUACGUAGGUGGCAAGCGUUGUCCGGAAUUAUUGGGCGUAAAGGGCUCGCAGGCGGUUUCUUAAGUCUGAUGUGAAAGCCCCCGGCUCAACCGGGGAGGGUCAUUGGAAACUGGGGAACUUGAGUGCAGAAGAGGAGAGUGGAAUUCCACGUGUAGCGGUGAAAUGCGUAGAGAUGUGGAGGAACACCAGUGGCUAAGGCGACUCUCUGGUCUGUAACUGACGCUGAGGAGCGAAAGCGUGGGGAGCGAACAGGAUUAGAUACCCUGGUAGUCCACGCCGUAAACGAUGAGUGCUAAGUGUUAGGGGGUUUCCGCCCCUUAGUGCUGCGCUAACGCAUUAAGCACUCCGCCUGGGGAGUACGGUCGCAAGACUU